CAUGAGCCUUGCCUGGGACAGUCAGUGGCAAACUCAGUCUCUCAGUCAGACUCCAGAACAGAGCGGCAGAUCAAGAUACCGCAUCUCCCCUCAGCACCUAAAGGAUGGGAAGGAGAAUUUGGAAAAAGCCAAGCCCAGGUGGACAGAGACUAAGUCUAGUGUGCAAAGGAGUCUUCCAGCAACAGCCAGCACGGGAAGCCUCCGCGGAGCACGAUCAGGUGAUCAAUCAGGUGAUCUCAGUCAAUUACACAGUGGAUGGACCAGUAGCUCAGACUCCGCAUCCAGCAGGAAGUCAGACCUUCUAAGGAAGACAUGUCUUAUCCAGGUAAUGCCCAGAAGUGAAGCCCUGGGAGGAGGUUCUAUAGAAGGAGAAAAGAAUUCCCAAGGCCAGGAAUCCCAAAGGCAUUCUUCUGUUUGAGUCUUCUUUAAUGCAGGACUAAUGUGCAGGGAUGCUUGGCUUAGGGGCUAGUUUUGGAAGACGUCUCCCCUCGCUUCCCUUGCCAGUACAUCUUUUUUUUUUUUAAACUAAUUGAUGAAAAAGUUUAAUUAAGCAAAACAAAAUUAAAAAAAAAACUAAUUGAUGUCAACGUGUUGCGUGAUAUUAGUGGAGGAAGCCCCAGAUGGGGAUCAUAUAGGAUGGGAUGAAAAGGUGCCAUUUAACCUUGAGGGGAGAACAAGUUAAUCUCCUGGGAAGUGACACGCCAGUGGAGUGGGAGUAAAGUGAGUGAGCACAGAUGGGAUGCUAUGUAGGUUCUUGGAAAUAAUGAGCUUUUCUAGAGCUGAUAAAAAUAGAGAACCAGUAUGAUAUACAUUAUUUUAAAAUGUCGUUCAUGAAAAUCUCACAUUAAAUCCGACUCCUACCACCUAUAUCUUGUUCAUUGGAAUUCCAUAUAGAAGGACGUAGGAGAGAAAGCAUGAAAUAGUGGCAGAGAGCUAUCAUGGGAGCCAGAAACGCCUGGUUGCUGUCCCUCCUCUGACACUUCGCCUAGGAGACCAUGGCCCAGUCAUCCAUCUCCCCAGUGCCUCAGGCAACUCUAUGGCUGUAAAUGAUGGAGAAGGUGCUGAACACUAUUGAUGGAGGGAACUUUCUCACCUGGCAGGUCUCUAUACCCAAGAGAUCAUAAAGGCAGCCUCUCUGGCUACAUCAGGAAAUAACUAUCUGAAUAGAAGCUGAUUGGAAGAUCCAACUACAUAGACAUCUAGGCUACUGUAGAACGUGUUUGAGUAUAUAACCAUGCUUGAAUGAUACCUGUUUAAGGCUUAUGGAACUCAUCAUGCAUCACUUCUAUGAGAUGCUUAAGAUAAAGUGACAAAUAUUUCUGGACUGAUGGACACACCUGAUUCUAGCUAGAAAAACUGUCAAAGAGGCUCAGUACUAACCUAUUACUCACCCAGCCCAAUACUAGCCUCUACAGACUACUCAAUGUGGCCAAAAGAUAAGCUAUAUAUAGGAAAUAAUUAGAGACGUUCCUUCUGCUUCCCCUUUUUAAAUGGGGAAAAAAUGGUUCUUUGACUGACCCUCGGCCAACUCGAGAAAACGCCAUCUAUUUCUAUCAAGAUCAUCUUUCAGGAAAUUAAAAAAAUCUUAGAAUUUGGCCUCCUUUCUGCAGUGUUUGUUUAGUUACUUUCUACAGAAGUCAGUAUUAACUGAAUGAUUCCAGAAGGAUUGAAUAAAUGCUUAAGGCUCACCA
ensembl:lncRNA